UUUAGUAACGGCGAGUGAAGCGGUAACAGCUCAAAUUUGAAAUCUGGCUCCCUGCGGAGUCCGAGUUGUAAUUUGUAGAAGAUGCUUUGGGUGCACGACCCGGCCUAAGUGCCUUGGAACAGGACGUCGUAGAGGGUGAGAAUCCCGUAUGCGGCCGGCGUCGUCGCCCAUGUAAAGCUCUUUCGACGAGUCGAGUUGUUUGGGAAUGCAGCUCAAAAUGGGUGGUAAAUUUCAUCUAAAGCUAAAUAUGGGCCAGAGACCGAUAGCGCACAAGUAGAGUGAUCGAAAGAUGAAAAGCACUUUGGAAAGAGAGUUAAACAGUACGUGAAAUUGUUGAAAGGGAAGCGCUUGCAACCAGACUUGGGCGUCGCUGAUCAUCCAAAGUUCUCUUUGGUGCACUCGACGACGCACAGGCCAGCAUCGGUUGGGGUGGUGGGAGAAAGACUGUAGGAACGUAGCUCUUUUCGGAGAGUGUUAUAGCCUGCGGUGCAAUACCGCCUACCCUGACCGAGGACCGCGCUUCGGCUAGGAUGCUGGCGUAAUGGUUGUAAGCGACCCGUCUUGAAACACGGACCAAGGAGUCUAACAUCUAUGCGAGUGUUUGGGUGUGAAACCCAUGCGCGAAAUGAAAGUGAACGUANGUGAGAACCCUUUAAGGGGGCAUCAUCGACCGAUCCUGAUGUCUUCGGAUGGAUUUGAGUAANGGCAUAGCUGUUGGGACCNAAA
rnacentral:rRNA from 1 species